UACGUAGGGUGCAAGCGUUGUCCGGAUUUAUUGGGCGUAAAGAGCUCGUAGGCGGUUUGGCAAGUCGGGUGUGAAACCUCCAGGCUCAACCUGGAGUCGCCAUCCGAUACUGCUAUGACUUGAGUCUGGUAGGGGAUCACGGAAUUCCUGGUGUAGCGGUGAAAUGCAUAGAUAUCAGGAGGAACACCGGUGGCGAAGGCGGUGAUCUGGGCCAGUACUGACGCUGAGGAGCGAAAGCGUGGGGAGCAAACAGG
rnacentral:rRNA from 1 species